rnacentral:rRNA from 1 species
UACGUAGGGUGCAAGCGUUGUCCGGAAUUAUUGGGCGUAAAGAGCUCGUAGGCGGUUUGUCGCGUCUGCUGUGAAAUCCUCAGGCUCAACUCCGGAUCUGCGGUGGGUACGGGCAGACUAGAGUGAUGUAGGGGAGACUGGAAUUCCUGGUGUAGCGGUGAAAUGCGCAGAUAUCAGGAGGAACACCGAUGGCGAAGGCAGGUCUCUGGGCAUUAACUGACGCUGAGGAGCGAAAGCAUGGGGAGCGAACAGG